rnacentral:tRNA from 1 species
GCUCCCUUCGUCUAGUGGCCUAGGACGCCGCCCUCUCACGGCGAGAACAGGGGUUCAAAUCCCCUAGGGAGCG